ACUUGACGUGUAAUCGUGUAAACAUACAGGCCGCUUUUCUAAAGCCAAGUGUGGUGUUAUGUGUCCGCAUUUUGAGCGCCAUAUACAGCAGACAGGUUGGGUUUGGGAAAGGAAGAACCAGUUGGGUUUAGGAAAAGAAGAAAGUGAUAGCUGACUUUAGGAAGUGACACGUGGGACACAAAGGAAAUGUCACACGUGGGACACGAUACCCGGUCUCCUGGGUGAAAGUCCUGUGUUUUUACCCAUCUGACCAACCUCCCUAUGCGGAUUUUCCCCCUUUCAUACCACUCAUUACGGCGUAAAUACAUACGCAAUCGCAAGGUAAUGUAAGUCAAUGGAGGCGAAACGGCGUUGAUAAACAAGCUACACAGAGAGUA